rnacentral:misc_RNA from 1 species
ACUAGUAUUGAAGUCCACGGGGAUCAGGCUUUCCGAAAGGAGGGUGGGGGGAUGUUUGGUUCCCCCUGCUUGGGCAGACUGGAGAGCAUUGUGUAGCCACUUUUGUUGGCUACGUUAUGUUUGGCCUCUGCUGAUCGAGCUUGUCACCUGAAUUCUACUACCCUUAGCUUUUUGCGCACCCAUUGUUUCCUCGGUAGGCUUGCCUGCCAGUAGGACCAUUUAAAACCCUUUGUGAUUGCAAUCAGCGUCAGAAACAACGUAAUCGUUA